AUUGAACGCUGGCGGCAUGCUUUACACAUGCAAGUCGAACGGUAACAGGUUAAGCUGACGAGUGGCGAACGGGUGAGUAAUGCAUCGGAACGUGCCCGAUCGUGGGGGGCGACACUUCGAAAGAAGUGCUAAUACCGCAUACGAUCUGAGGAUGAAAGCGGGGGACCGUAAGGCCUCGCGCGAUCGGAGCGGCCGAUGUCAGAUUAGGUAGUUGGUGGGGUAAGGGCUCACCAAGCCGACGAUCUGUAGCUGGUCUGAGAGGACGACCAGCCACACUGGGACUGAGACACGGCCCAGACUCCUACGGGAGGCAGCAGUGGGGAAUUUUGGACAAUGGGCGCAAGCCUGAUCCAGCAAUGCCGCGUGCAGGAAGAAGGCCUUCGGGUUGUAAACUGCUUUUGUACGGAGCGAAAAGGCUCCCUCUAAUACAGGGGGCUCAUGACGGUACCGUAAGAAUAAGCACCGGCUAACUACGUGCCAGCAGCCGCCGCGG
rnacentral:rRNA from 1 species